UACGUAGGGUGCGAGCGUUGUCCGGAAUUAUUGGGCGUAAAGAGCUCGUAGGCGGUUUGUCGCGUCGACUGUGAAAACCUACAGCUUAACUGUGGGCUUGCAGUCGAUACGGGCAGACUUGAGUUCGGUAGGGGAGACUGGAAUUCCUGGUGUAGCGGUGAAAUGCGCAGAUAUCAGGAGGAACACCGGUGGCGAAGGCGGGUCUCCGGGCCGAUACUGACGCUGAGGAGCGAAAGCGUGGGGAGCGAACAGG
rnacentral:rRNA from 1 species